AUAGGUUGUAUUACUCAUUUGUAGGAGAGAGAACUACUGAUGAAACUGAACUUUAAAAACACGAGGAGUAGCGGAAAACAGGUGCAAAAAAAAAAGAAGAGCUGGCAAAAUGUGGAAAAGUAAAGGAAGAUACCCACAUCUUGUUAUUCGCGUUGAAGACCAUGGGAGAAGGACAAACCUCCGUGUCGUUGUCUAUUCAUCAUUGCUGAAGUGCUGAUUCUAUCUCACCAGGAAGCAUGAUUUAACCUCAUCCAAAGGAAAUGCUUUUCAGGUUUGAGAGGGAGGAGGGUUUGUUCAUAGUUCUGAGACUGAAGAGGAGGAACUAUGGACCCCACAGAAAUGGGAAGUGGAUCGUCCCAAGCAAGUGGUCCUAGUGCUAAGAGAUUAAUCCCUUUUGGAGGGCAGGGAGA